rnacentral:rRNA from 1 species
AUUGAACGCUGGCGGCAGGCCUAACACAUGCAAGUCGAGCGGAUGAAGGGAGCUUGCUCCUGGAUUCAGCGGCGGACGGGUGAGUAAUGCCUAGGAAUCUGCCUGGUAGUGGGGGAUAACGUCAGGAAACGGGCGCUAAUACCGCAUACGUCCUGAGGGAGAAAGAGGGGGAUCUUCGGACCUCACGCUAUUAGAUGAGCCUAGGUCGGAUUAGCUGGUUGGUUGGGUAAAGGCCUACCAAGGCGACGAUCCGUGACUGGUCUGAGAGGAUGAUCAGUCACACUGGAACUGGGACACGGUCCAGACUCCUACGGGAGGCAGCAGUGGGGAAUAUUGGACAAUGGGCGAAAGCCUGAUCCAGCCAUGCCGCGUGUGUGAAGAAGUUCUUCGGAUUGUAAAGCACUUUAAGUUGGGAGGAAGGGCAGUAAGUUAAUACCUUGCUGUUUUGACGUUACCAACAGAAUAAGCACCGGCUAACUUCGUG